AACGAACGCUGGCGGCAUGCCUAACACAUGCAAGUCGAACGAGACCUUCGGGUCUAGUGGCGCACGGGUGCGUAACGCGUGGGAACCUGCCUUUAGGUUCGGAAUGACUCAGAGAAAUUUGAGCUAAUACCGGAUGAUGUCUUCGGACCAAAGAUUUAUCGCCUUUAGAUGGGCCCGCGUUGGAUUAGCUAGUUGGUGGGGUAAAGGCCUACCAAGGCGACGAUCCAUAGCUGGUCUGAGAGGAUGAUCAGCCACACUGGGACUGAGACACGGCCCAGACUCCUACGGGAGGCAGCAGUGGGGAAUAUUGGACAAUGGGCGAAAGCCUGAUCCAGCAAUGCCGCGUGAGUGAUGAAGGCCUUAGGGUUGUAAAGCUCUUUUACCCGAGAUGAUAAUGACAGUAUCGGGAGAAUAAGCUCCGGCUAACUCCGUG
rnacentral:rRNA from 1 species